CGCGCCAGGCGAGGCGCAUCAUCGAUCCGCGUCCAACCCCGAGGGGCGGGUUUUCCGACUUAAAUACCCUUGUACUAGAUUGUCCCGUCCAGCGGGACUCAGUUAUUCCGGGAAUCGAGGGGGACCCAGCCUGAAAGAGAAACGGGCGAGAAAGAGGAGGGAGACCGAGCAAAUUUUGUCACGGCUCAGCUUUAUUCAUGCGAUGGGUGUUGUUUUUAUGCUAUACUGCUACGUGAGACCAUUAUGCUCUGUGUCAAAGUUCACAUGGUCCUUGUAGUUAACGUUCUUCCUAGGACCCCUUGGAUCAUUGUGCUCUGUGGUUAAUGUUCUUCCUGGGACCCCUCGGAUCAUUGUGCUCUGAAGCAUUCUUCUUCAAACAGGCUUACCCGAUUUAACAUUGAUCUACAAAACCAGGCAAGCUAAAAUAGCAUCUGCAUCCAUACCAGAAGAGGAGGGUUCACACGUGGAACCUCGAAAGCUAGAUAAAAUUUAAUAAAAGUGUAUUCACUAUUGUUUGUUCUUAGUGCUCUCCUGCAGACUUUUUUUUUUUUUUUGUAUCCUUCUCUCUAAGAUGUAUGUACGCAGUACCCUCAAGCAGUUAAAACAUUUAUUUAUAUCCCCAUCCUGGUUUAUUCUACCCAUCCCCAUUACUGACAUUCUAUCAAAUUCAAGCCUACCUUUUUCCGCAUCUUUAUCACACAUCAAAAUUCCUACUCUAAACAUCUUAAAUAUUAGGCAAUUGCAUUUGUAAAUCAAAUUUAUUUAAUUAUUUCAAGGUGAAGAGAAAUCCAGUUUUUGAAGUAGCAAGAUUUUUUUAAUCUUUUUUUUAGAAGGCUGCUCUUAUGCAAAG